GGCACUAUGGCCGAGUGGUUUAAGGCGUGGCACUCAAGUUGCCAUGGAGCAAUCCUCUUGGGUUCGAAUCCCAAUGGUGUCA